AUUUCAAAUCAUUUAUCAUCAUGAAUGAUCAUAUAUCAACAUUUUUCACCAUGAACAUGUAAAUAUUGUCAC